AUAAAUAUUUCAUUUCCUCGAGUGGGGAUCGAACCACAUAAUAUUCAAAAAGAUUAUUAUGUGGUUCGAUCCCCACUCGAGGAAAUAGUAUAUAU
rnacentral:pre_miRNA from 1 species